CGGGGCGGGACUCCAAGGGGCGUGGUUCUGGCGGGAGGGGCGGAGGGCGCCUGACCGCAAUCUGGGUUUGGAUGCUAGAAUUUGCAGUCCCCGGGUGCGUGGCACCCCUGGGGGGCGCUCGCUGUGUGGCUCUGGGCUGGUUUGCACACCUCUCUGAGUCUCAACGGCCACUAGCAAAAUGGUAGCGCUUGGUUCAGGGCUGUAAGCCAGUGCUAGGUCUCCGGCUUCCUCACUAGGCUGCGGGAUAACUUUGGUAAACUGGCGAUAAUAAUAGUACAACCUCCUGGGUUGUUAGGAAGAUUAAGCGAGUUAAUAUUUGGAGGGUGUUUACAACCACGUCUGUUAUGUGUAAAGAAAGUGGCAUUAAGUUCAUUAGAGAGACCACGGGAGGAGGUCUGGCUCCGAGGUUGAGUUCUCUUUCUCCAUGCUCCGAGUACCUAUGCCCAAGCCCAGUUUCCUCUUUUGCUCCUAGACACCAUGUCCGCCACUUCUCUGAGCUGUAAAGCCGCCACCUCCCUCUAUUUCUGACUGUAUGGUGAUACCUAAGUGUGAAGACCAGAGAGGGUGGGUGUCUAAAUGGUUAAGGACACAGAACACCUUGGCAUUGAACCAGCUCACCUAUAAACCGCCUCUAGCUGGUUCUGGGCAAGCUCCCAGCCAAUGAACAGCGGUUUUCUUCUGGAUAAAAUGAAAUUUGUAUCAAACUGGGCUCUGAGAAUCACAGGUGUGCUCCUGAAGUGGUAAGUAUUACAGUUGAUAGCCUCUGUGGUCCCUCGGGUCUGUUUCCCAUCUAGCUAGGUUCAGCUAAAGGAGGGAUCUGGGAGAAGUUAAUUUCUGUUGGAGACAGGAAGCUGAGCUUUGUCCCAGAUGCUGGCCUAGGGGGUACCCUUGUUGGGCAUGGAUCCCUGAAAAGUAAAGCAUGUGGAACUGGUGAGUCUGGGAUCCCCUUCCUCCUGUCCCCUGAUCACCACCUUGUCCCCUUCCCCUGCUUACUGCAAGAUCUAUCCCCUCUGCUCUUGCUUCCUCCAACCAUGGACCUAGUUCUUUCCCUCAAUACAUAUGAUGUCGAGGCUGGAACAAGGCCCAAGCCUGGUCACCCAGGCCCUUCCUUAGGGUACCAGUUCAUAAAUUCAACCACCCCCAUUAUAGAAGUACAUCCUAUAUCUCAGUCAACAAGACACCAAUUAGCCAUCUUUUUUCCUCCUCUAUUAUGGUCCUGUGCUAGUCAAUGUCCCAGGGACAGAGGCAUUAGCCUAUUACUAGCUUCAGGGAAUCCUCAAGAUGGGGGGACAGGGAGAGGGGCAGUGUAUACCAUCACCAAGGAUGAAUACAGGAUAAGUCUCCAGAGAUAACUGGGGUGUGUUUGUGUGUGUGUGUAGUAGUAGUAGUAGUAGUAGUAGUAGUAGUAGUAGUAGUAGCAGCAGCUCUUUGGGAAAGAGGAAGUGAUGCUAAGGAGGGUUUGGAAAGUAGUUCAAUAGGCAGCUAGAGAUGUAAGCCAUUUUUGAUAGAAGAGCAGUUAGUUACAAAGGCAGCCUUUAGACAGCACCCCGAACCACAAGCUUCAAACAUUGGAGUCCCAGCUCUGUAGCCACUUGCCGAAUGCACACUGCUCACAUCUCUUCUCAGCUUCAAAACCCACAUCCAUCUCUAAAAUGGGUCUAAUAGUCUCCUCCUGGUUUGAAUAAAUGUUUCUCAGAGUAACUGCACUAAUACUUCUGGUUUGCUUUAUUGAGGCAGGCACCCCAGCUGUCCUGGAACUCACUAUGUAGACCAGGAUGACUUCGGAUCCACUUGCCUAUCAAAUGCUGGAAUUAAAGGCUUGUGCUACCAGACCCUGCUCAAACUGCACUAAUUGUUGGCGUCAGCAUUUCAGCCCAGUGCCAUGGUCCCAUGGCACCAACACAGAAAAAGCAGAGUAGCCAGGAAAACAGCGUUACUUUUCCCCAUUUCCCUAUACCUGCCCAGACACAGAUCCCAUUGUCUGCUUGGAAUUCCACUUCUCUGUCCUCUCUUUGUGUAAAUGUUUUAUAGCCCCUGGAGGCAACUGUUUGGAGGCAAAUUUACUAGGAGCUAUGGACACUGGAUCAGAGGUUAGAUUCUUAGGUGGACUAUUAUCUUGGAGACCGAGUCCUUGGAAACAGAAUUUAACCCUGUAGAGAGCACCAGAGAAAGUCCAGGAGAUACAAAGCCCUUAGCUAGGAUCGUGUGCCACAGAGAGAGGGAUGUGAAUAGAAGCCCGGAGGAAUGGCUUCUUGAAGUGUUACUGGCUCCUAGAAACUGGUGUGUGUGUGUGUGUGUGUGUGUGUGCGUGCGCGCGCGCGCGCGGAGUAGGAGCUGAAGAGAUAGUUACAAAGACCCUGGAUGCCAUCCAUUGAGGUAGAGGCCAGAACUUUCAUUACUGGAUGGGCAGUGGGGAGCCAUAAAGGGUUCCAAAGAUCCCGGUGACAACUCAGCAUCCCCAAAACCGCCCCUACCUGAGGCUUCUAAAGAGAAGGAAUUGAGGGGUCCCACAGCGACCACCUAGACCUGGUGAGACUUGCUAGUCUGUGCCUGCACUGGCAGCUUUGUUCCCUGGAGGCUGACUUCAGCCCUUAAAGGAACCAGUCUUUCCUGGGUUGUGUCCAAGACGCUCCAGCCCCUACCAGUCUGAAAGAAAAAGAGCUCCCAGGACUUGGGGGGAGGGGCCAGGUGCACAUGAUGAUUCGGGCAAGUGCCGGCCUGAUGCGUGUCAGCCAGCACGCCUGUGGACCCAAGGCCCUAGAAAUGGGCGGUGCUUUCGCGGGCGGGUCCUAGCGGCAACGGAAUAAGAGUGAGUAAGACAGCCCGGAAAAGGCUCUGUUGCCUUUAAAGGCAAGUGUUCCCGGUAGAGCGAAAAGGCUUUGCUGAAUCAGUGGCAGCUGAUGCAAGGGGCGCAGGCAGGGGAUGGGAGGGGGAAGCCCUUAAUCCGAAGGCUGUUUUGCAACUCAAAUCCUCCCGCGCUGGAGGUAAACAUGGUAUAGGACUCAAGGAGGGCAGGCUGGGCCAGGCAGGCUGGGACAGUUCUGUGUGUUUUUAUAAUUCAUUCUGAUUUGCACACCUGCCCCAAUCACCUGCUACCGGCUCAUCGGUGUCCCUUUAUGAUCAUUUUGUCUCUGCAGGCGCCACCACCACCUAUUCAUUGAUAUGAGGGAUGCUGAAAGGAAGUAUCCCUCCUCCACUGUAUCCUGAGCGCCACAACUGGCUGUCUAACUGCCUCCAAGGACAACGUUCUGGGUAUCCCACAGGUGCUCACAAUCACCGUGCUUAAAUCUCGGCAUUGCAGCCCUAGUCCUCCAAAUAUCCCAAAGAUGGCACUUCCAAACUGUCUCGGACUCCUCACCCUCAGUACCCAAUAUCCAGCCAACCCGAGGCUUCUGCCCUUCCAAAGGACUGUGGGCCUCCCUCACCUCCCUUCUCUUCACUCCCACUCUCCAUCACAUAGCGCCAUUUCUCAGUUUUCUUUCCACCUUCCAUGACCGUUGUCGCUGUAUUAAGCAUUUUCCCAUGGUAUAUGACAGCACGGCUAAACCUCUCAGGCAUCAAUCACAUGAAGGGUCAUAUGCAAAAGUGUGUUUGUGCAGGCACAUAUCAUGGAAAACCUUCUGAGCUCAGAAGUCUGGAGGACAGUUCUGUCUGGAAGGGAGGGGCUCCACUGUGAGGGGGCCUGCUGGAUAAUCAGGGUGAGGCCGCUGGAGAACCAAUAAGUGGUUCUCCUGUUUCUCUCUUUGCCCCAAGCUGAUAUGACUCAGCAACUCACGAUAACUAAUCCCAUCUUUAUUGAAAAAUUUGAUGCUUUGUCAUUUUUUCUUCCUUUUUUAUUAUUUUUAAUUUCUCAAAAAUAUGGCAUUAAGGAUGGGGAUUGAACCUGAAUGGUCGAAGGUUUGCUUAGCCUGGAUUUGAUUUCCCAGCACUGGACAGAAAAGUUGCAUUAAGAUUAUUAUUUAUCUUCACAAGUAGGUUCCGGGACACUUUCACUCACCCCAGCUUGAACUUUACUUGGGAUAGGAGGAUCUGUCUCGCCACACCCAAUUCCUGACCCUGUUGCUGUUUUUUUCAUGACGAUACUGAUUACCCAGGGGCCUCUGAGAUUGGAGAGAGGAUUGGAUGCGGCUCGGAGACCUCCAUUCCUCAAGCCUCAGGAAGGUGCUAGGAAUCAGAAGUCUAGUGUUAUCUCCAGAGGUGUUGUCCUAGGCCAGUCUUCCCUGUGGAUGUUUCUCUCUCUAAAAUGGGCCCUGAAUACUCUACAAGUUGUUGGGUUCUGAGAUCUAAACUGCUGAGGGUGAAUUCUAGAUUGAGGCCACCCAGGCUUCACAUCCUCAGUCCGCUACUACCUGCAAGUCAUAUUUUAUUGUUGUUUGCAAGCUUGACACACACUAGAGUAAUCUGGGAAGAGGACCCUAUAAAGAUGGACCUCUAGGCAAGUCUGUAGGGCUUUGUUUGUUUGUUUGUUUGUUUGUUUGUUUGAGACAGGAUCUCUCUUUGUAGCCCUGAACUCACUUUGUUGACCAGACUGGCCUUGACCCUCCAGAGAUCUGCCUGCCUCUGCCUCCAGAGUGCCGGGUUUAAAGCCUUGGACCACCAUGACCUUCCAGCAUUUUCCUGAUUAAUGAUAGAUGUGGGAAAGCCCAGCCUGUGGUGGGCAGUGCCAACCUUGGACAGGUGAUCCUAGGGUAUGUAAGGAAGCAGGCUGAGAGCAAGCCAUGGCUGGGGCAUGGGGAGGAGCACCCAGUAAACAGUGUUCUUCCAUGGUUUCUGCUUCAGUUCCUGCCUUCACACUGUGUCCUUGAGUUCCUGCCCUGACUUCCCCCAGUGAUGGCAUAUGAUCUGAGAAUUAUAAGAAGACAUAACUUUCUUCCCAAGUUGCUUUUGGUCAUGGUGAGCUGCCCUGCAUGGCCUGGUCCUGGAGCCCUGACUGGGGUGAUAAGGGUGAUAAAGGAGGUUCAGUCUGUUGCUAUGUACUGUAGUGCUGAAUUCUGUACCGAAGGUCUAGGCCUAUGAGUGAAUUCUCACACUCACAAGCUUUUGUUGUGCAAACCUUGUACCUUGAUUUAAAACUAAUGGUUAAAUAAAA